UUAUUCCCUGAUCAGUUUUCUAAAAUAAUGUAUGUCAUCAGUUGAUUGAAAGGAAGAGCUUUGCGAUGGGCUAACACUUUUUAAAGCUCACAUAAAGCCAAUACAAUAACCUAUCAGACCUUUCUCCUGGAGUUCUGUCAGGUUUUUGAUCAUCCCCUCCAGCAGGAGGCAGCAUCCAAAUGCCUCCUUUCCCUCCGCCAGGGAAGAUGAUCAGUCACAGAUUUCUCAGUAGAUUUCAGAAUCAUGGCGGAGGAGUCUGGUUGGGAUGAUGCAGCCCUGAGAGGUAUUUUUGUUAAUGCUCUUUCUGACUCAUUAAAGGAUCAGCUGGCUACUCGGGAUGAACCCGCUUCUUUGGACGGAUUAAUCAGCUUGGCGAUCCGCAUUGACAACAGACUCUGUGAAAGGAGACGUGAGAAGGACUCCAACUACCAGCAGCCACCGCGGCUCAGUGCUUCCUGUUUUCUUCCCUCCGACCCCACAAUCAUCUAAAUCAGAUGCAGCCGAGAGUGAGUUUGAGCCAAUGCAGCUGGGACGCUCACAGCUUUCUGCUGAAGAACGACAGAGACGGCAUGAAGCAAAGUCUUGUUUUUACUGCGAAAAGAAGGAUCAUCUGGUUGCUAAAUGAUCGGCUCUGUUAAAAGACCGGACCCAUCAUUAAGUAAGGGGAUUAUGGUGGGUCAGUCAAAGUCCUCCCCUAGCACUAGUUUUUCUAUUCAUGCUACUAUUUUUGCUAAUCUUAAUAAGUUUUCUAUCCAUGCUUUAGUGGACUCAAGAGCAGAGCAAAAUUUAAUCUCUAUGGACAUUGUAGAAGAACUUGGACUUGUGACUGAGAAGCUGGAUCCACCAUUACCUGUUCUGGGUAUCACCGGUCAGAGAAUUACAGCCAUCACUCAUCGGGUAAACAAUUUACAACUACUCUUGUCUGGAAAUCACUGGGAGUCGGGUGAGUUUUUUGUCAUCAAUGCAUAUUCUCCACAAUUAGUUUUGGGGUUUUCUUGGCUCAAAAAACACAACCCACAGUUAAACUGGGCUAAGGAGAGAGUUGAACGCUGGAGUGAUUUUUGUUUAAAUCAUUGUUUAAAAGCUGCUGUACCCAGAUUAGAGAUCAAGAGAGACUCUUUUGAAGAGCAUGAUUUGUCCAAAGUACACAGUGAAUAUCAUGUUUUGACACCUGUGUUCAGUAAAGCUAAGGCUCUCUCUCUCCCACCUCAUAGACCGUAUGACUGCUCCAUCGAACUGUUACCAGGGGCUCCUUUGCCAUCCAGUCGUUUAUAUAAUUUGUCCGGAACAGAAAGGGAAUCAAUGAGGUUAUAUAUAGAAGGGUCAUUAGCUUCUGGCAUUAUUCGCCCCUCCACGUCUCCACUAGGUGCCGGAUUCUUUUUUGUUUCAGAAAAGACAAGAGCCUACGUCCAUGUAUUUAUUUCCAUGGGUUAAACCAAAUUACUAUCAAAAAUAAAUACCCUCUUAUUGAUUCGGUGCACCAUCAGCUCCAUAAUGCUACUGUUUUCAAAGCUGGAUCUGUGCAAUGCUUACCAUUUGGUAAGAAUUAAAGCAGGAGAUGAGUGGAAAACCGCUUUUUAAACACCCUUGGGACAUUUUGAGUAUUUGGUUAUGCCAUUUGGGCUAACCAAUGCCCCUGCGGUUUUUCAAUCACUUAUCAAUGACGUUCUUCGAGACUUUCUCAACAUUUUUGUUUUUGUAUAUUUAGAUGAUAUCCUCAUCUAUUCUCAGAACUUGACCCAAUACAAACACCAUGUUCUCAUUGUUCUCUAAAAACUAUGUGAAAACCAGCUCUUAAGGCCGAGAAGUGCGAAUUUCAUUUGUCUACUGUAUCAUUUUUGGGUUUCAUUUUUGGAGAAGGUUUUUUUCAGACUGACCUGGACAAAGUUAAAGCUGUGGCAGAGUGGUCGGUUCCUAAAGAUCAUAAACAACUUCAGAGUUCUUGGGGUUCACCAACUUUUACCGAUGGUUCAUGAAGGACAACAGCUGAGUGGCGGCGCCAUUAACUCAACUCACACCCACCUUGAGGUCUUUCAAAUGGACUACAGAAGCUAAUACAACAUUUGGUGAGUUAAAGGCUCGUUUUGUUUCCGCUCCCAUCCUAAGACACCCUAACCCAACCGAACAGUUCAUUGUGGACGUGGACGCUUCUGAUUCUGGUGUGGGAGCAGUUCUUUCACAGAGAUCCACUGCUGACAACAAGGUCCAUCCCUGUGCCUUCUUCUCACGACGACUCAGCCCCUCAGAAACUACGAUGUGGGGGACUGUGAACUGUUGGCCAUUAAGUUGGCGUUGGAGGAGUGGCGUCAUUGGCUCGAAGGUACUGAUCUGCCGUUCAUAAUUUGGACGGAUCAUAAAAAUCUAUCGUAUCUUCAAACAGCCAAGAGAUUAAACCCUCGCCAGGCCCGCUGGUCCCUGUUUUUUGUCUGUUUUAACUUUGUUAUUACCUACUGACCGUGAACCAUGAAUGUUAUGCCUGACGCCCUCUCUUGACAGUUCUCUGACACAGAGGGUCCUAAGGAUGAGGACAACAUCCUUCCCCCUACAUGCUUUGUAGGAUCCCUCACAUGGGCCAUAGAAAAGGAGAUCCAGGAGGCACUUAGGACCAAACCUGAUCCAGGGGAAGGACCUCCUGGUAAGACCUUUGUACCUUUUUCUAUUAAAGACAAGGUGUUGGACUGGUUACACUCAAGUCAGUUUUCAUGCCACCCUGAGGUUUUUCGCAUGACUAUGCUAGCUUCAAGGUAUUUUUGGUGGCCUUCUAUGUCAGCCGACAUCAAGGAGUUUAUGGCAGCCUGUCCAACUUGUGCCAGAAACAAGAGUGGUAAUCGACCUCCUGCUGGACUGUUACAACCAAUACCUACACCUGGUCGUGCAUGGUCGCACAUUGCCAUGGAUUUUGUUACCGGUUUACCACUCUCUCAAGUAACACUGUCAUAUUGACUAUAAUUGACCGUUUCUCUAAAGCUGCACAUUUUGUGUCUCUGCCCAAACUCCCUACAGCAAUGGAGAUGGCUCGCCUGCUAGUCCAACAUGUUGUGAGAAUCCAUGGCAUACCAACUGACAUUGUUUCUGUUUGAGGCCCACAGUUUGUAUCUCAAGUCUGGAAGGCAUUCUGCAAAGCCCUAGGUACGACUAAGUCUCUCGUCUGGGUACCAUCCCCAGUCCAACGGACAAACCGAGAGAAGCAACCAGGAGCUGGAGGCCUCAUUGCGCUGUGUUGUGAGUAGUAACCCUUCUAACUGGAGUCAGCAUCUAACCUGGAUUGAAUACGCUCAAAACACGCAUACAUCCUCUGCCAUUGGUAUGUCACCAUUUGAAGCUUCACUGGGUUAUAAUCCUCCUUUAUUUCCCAGUGUUGAAACAGAAUGUGCAGUCCCGUCUGUCCAGCAUCAUGUCCGCAGGUGUCGUCGUUUCUGGAGGCAAACCAAGGAGGCGCUCUUGCGGAUGGCUGAACAAAAUAAAAUUGCUGAUAGGCAUCGUUCUACUGCACCUUCCUACAGAGUUGGUCAACAAGUGUGGUUGUCAACUAAGGAUAUUCAACUUAAGGACACUACUCGAAAGCUGGCUCCCUGGUACAUUGGACCAUUCCCGGUGGAACGCAUCAUAAACCCCUCUGUGGUACGUCUCUCACUCCCUUCCUCUAUGAAAGUACAUCCUACUUUUCAUGUGUCCCAGGUUAAGCCAGUUUCUAACAGUCUUCUGAGCCCUCCUUCCAACUACCCUACGCGCCCCCAAAUCAUCGACAAUCAGCCAUCCUGCACGGUCAACAAGAUCCUGGAUGUCAGACGACGUGGGCGUGGUCUACAGUAUCUUGUUGCUUGGGAGGGUUAUGGUCCGAAGGAACGCUCGUGGAUCUCAAGAGCCCUCAACCUUGAUCCCUCCCUCAUGUCCACUUUCUACAGCGACAAUCCUGAGAAGCGCAUCAGAUUGCCAGGAGACAAUCGUUGGGGGAUGGCACUGUGAUGAUUGGAGGUUUUGGUGUUUACCUUCUGCUUGGUUCCUGCUCCUAAGUGCACCACCUGCAUGCAAUCACCCUGAUGACAUCAUGGGCUUUAAAAGUGUCUCCAGACGGAUGAGUCCUCGCUGAUGCAUAACACCGUUUUUGGAAACCUUCACCAUUACGUCGUCUGGAGUUUUGGUCUGCCCAGGAUCAUCACCUAAAUGAACCAAGGAAGAUUUUAUGGUCUUGCCACUCUGCCUGAAGAAGCCUUUUACUUCACAAAGGAAACCUCACCUCUAAGCCGACUUGUUCUUCAGAAACCUAUCCGGACUUGUAUAUUUUUUCCCUGCA